AAUGGGAGCGGCGGACGGGUGAGUAACACGUGGGAAUUUUCCUCAAGGUACGGAACAACUCAGGGAAACUUGGGCUAAUACCGUAUGAUGCAGAGAUGCCAAAGAUUUAUCGCCUUGGGAUAAGCCCGCGUCAGAUUAGGUAGUUGGUGAGGUAACGGCUCACCAAGCCUGUGAUCUGUAGCUGGUCUGAGAGGACGAUCAGCCACAUUGGGACUGAGACACGGCCCAAACUCCUACGGGAGGCAGCAGUGGGGAAUCUUGCGCAAUGGGCGAAAGCCUGACGCAGCCAUGCCGCGUGAAUGAUGAAGGUCUUAGGAUUGUAAAGUUCUUUCGCCUGUGACGAUGAUGACGGUAACAGGAGAAGAAGCCCCGGCUAACUUCGUGCCAGCAGCCGCGGUAAUACGAAGGGGGCUAGCGUUGUUCGGAAUUACUGGGCGUAAAGCGCGCGUAGGCGGCUUUGCAAGCCAGAGGUGAAAUGCCUGAGCUCAACUUAGGAAUUGCCUUUGGGACUGCAGGGCUUCGAGGACUGGAGAGGUGAGUGGAAUUCCCAGUGUAGAGGUGAAAUUCGUAGAUAUUGGGAAGAACACCAGUGGCGAAGGCGGCUCACUGGCCAGUUUCUGACGCUAAAGUGCGAAAGCGUGGGGAUCAAACAGGAUUAGAUACCCUGGUAGUCCACGCUGUAAACGAUGAGUGCUAGGCGUCGGCACGCUUGCGUGUCGGUGCCGCAGCUAACGCGUGAAGCACUCCGCCUGGGGAGUACGGUCGCAAGAUUAAAACUCAAA
rnacentral:rRNA from 1 species